ACUCCUACGGGAGGCAGCAGUGGGGAAUAUUGGACAAUGGGGGCAACCCUGAUCCAGCGAUGCCGCGUGUGUGAAGAAGGCCUGAGGGUUGUAAAGCACUUUUAGUGGGGAGGAAAGUUAACAGGUUAAGAGCUAGUUAAGUUGACGUUACCCACCAUAAACAGCACCGGCUAACUCCGUGUCAGCAGCCGCGGUAAUACGGAGGGGGUUAGCGUUGUUCGGAAUUACUGGGCGUAAAGCGCGCGUAGGCGGACUAGUCAGUCAGGGGUGAAAUCCCGGGGCUCAACCCCGGAACUGCCUUUGAUACUGCUAGUCUAGAGUUCGAGAGAGGUGAGUGGAAUUCCGAGUGUAGAGGUGAAAUUCGUAGAUAUUCGGAGGAACACCAGUGGCGAAGGCAGCCUACUACGUAUAUACUGACGCUCAUGGACGAAAGCGUGGGGAGCGAACAGGAUUAGAUACCCUGGUAGGAU
rnacentral:rRNA from 1 species